rnacentral:rRNA from 1 species
CUGGCGGCAGGCCUAACACAUGCAAGUCGAGCGCACCCUUCGGGGCGAGCGGCGGACGGGUUAGUAACGCGUGGGAACGUGCCCUUCUCUACGGAAUAGCCUUUGGAAACGAAGAGUAAUACCGUAUACGCCCUUCGGGGGAAAGAUUUAUCGGAGAAGGAUCGGCCCGCGUUAGAUUAGAUAGUUGGUGGGGUAACGGCCUACCAAGUCUACGAUCUAUAGCUGGUUUUAGAGGAUGAUCAGCAACACUGGGACUGAGACACGGCCCAGACUCCUACGGGAGGCAGCAGUGGGGAAUCUUAGACAAUGGGCGCAAGCCUGAUCUAGCCAUGCCGCGUGAGUGACGAAGGCCUUAGGGUCGUAAAGCUCUUUCGCCAGGGAUGAUAAUGACAGUACCUGGUAAAGAAACCCCGGCUAACUCCGUGCCAGCAGCCGCGGUAAUACGGAGGGGGUUAGCGUUGUUCGGAAUUACUGGGCGUAAAGCGUACGUAGGCGGAUUGGAAAGUAUGGGGUGAAAUCCCAGGGCUCAACCCUGGAACUGCCCUGUAAACUAUCAGUCUAGAGUUCGAGAGAGGUGAGUGGAAUUCCAAGUGUAGAGGUGAAAUUCGUAGAUAUUUGGAGGAACACCAGUGGCGAAGGCGGCUCACUGGCUCGAUACUGACGCUGAGGUACGAAAGUGUGGGGAGCAAACAGGAUUAGAUACCCUGGUAGUCCACACCGUAAACGAUGAAUGCCAG